GCGGCCCAAGCCAGCGCAGCUUCGGCGGCCCGCGUACCCUUUCGCUCAGCUUUUCGGGAGAAAGCAAUCCUCUCUUCCUCGUCGUCAUCUGGCACGCAAGGAGCGUGACCCUGUGGUCCUCACCGAGCUCAACCACCGCACCUGCUCCCUCCCUUCCCCCUUUUAUUCCGCAUCCGAGGCACAGCGAAACCCUAGCGCCAUCUCCCUCUUCCUCCUGCCGCCGCCCCCUCUCUUUUCCCUCUCUUUCUGUGAGGAACACGAACACACCGAGAGCGCCACCGUCACUGCCCGCCAUGGCGCCGCCAGCUCCGUCCACCCCAAGCCUCGCCGCUGCCACCGUUGGAACCGCCUCGUCGCCCUCUACGUUCGGGUGCAAGGAAUCGAGCUAAUACCCUGUAAAUCGAGCGCAGUUUCGCGGAUUCCUUGCGCUGGUCGUCGUCUUUCUUCUUCGAUUCCGGCGAACCUCGGCCUCCCCUGCUUCUUCCGAGCACACGUUGAGCUUCAGGCAGCUCGCCGGCGACCCUCCUCCGGUGGUCCCCCGCUCCCGGCGCCGCCUCCAUCUGGUCCGCGUCGACAAGACGCGUCGUCUGCGCCAAGCCUCGCUUCCUGGGGAGCCCUGCGUCGCCCGCGCGCAACCGUGCUGACCGCGGUGACCACCGCCACGGGAACACGCGCUGGCAUCCCCUUUCCGUCGAGCACCUUCCGUGCGUGCCUGGAUGGUUUGCCACGGUAGCCUCCACGUCAACCCUCGGGCCCCAUCCGUCAUCCUCUCGGGCUAAGCCCAUCCUGCAUUUGCUUCUUCCCGGAUAGGAUCGCGAAGUGGUGUUGUGAGAUACGACAAGUUCUUCU